UGAAGGGUCUGGGAAGGAGUUCAAGUCCAGGUCGAAGCGCCUGCGGUCGAAGAUGCUGAGGAGACCAGCGAUUCUCUGGGCGGAGACCGGUCGGUCCCGGGUUGGAAGUCCGUACGGUAUCCGUGCGAGUCCGGAAGUGGAGGCCCGAAGGUCAUUGAUUCUUGGUGAAGUUGGAGGCCUAAUGCCUGCGAUCCAGGGAACGGGACUUGAGGUCCGGAAGCUUUCUGUCCGGGAGUUGGAGGCUUUCCUGGAAACGACUUGAAGAUACACUGCAAUUUGGGAUCAAUGUCAAUCAAGAGGAGCUGCUGUCAGCUAUUCACAACAUACAACUGUAAGAUCUUGGGAAGGAUGUGAUUUAAAGUAGAUCCGAUGGAAUCUGUUUGAAUCUGUAACCGCAGAAAAACAAUUAAAAUGAAAAGAGCACCACUUCAUGAUUGACCA